GAGUUUGAUCUUGGCUCAGAACGAACGCUGGCGGCAUGCCUAACACAUGCAAGUCGAACGCUCCGCAAGGGGAGUGGCGCACGGGUGAGUAACGCGUGGGAACCUGCCCAGGGGUGUGGGAUAACCGGUGGAAACGCCGGCUAAUACCGCAUACGUCCUAUGGGAGAAAGAUUUCAUCGCCCUUGGAGGGCCCGCGUCGGAUUAGCUAGUUGGCGGGGUAACGGCCCACCAAGGCGACGAUCCGUAGCUGGUCUGAGAGGAUGAUCAGCCACACUGGGACUGAGGACACGGCCCA
rnacentral:rRNA from 1 species